rnacentral:tRNA from 1 species
UAUGUGGUGCCAGAGGAAUGGGGUAUUUUGAUAAGGUGUUUAUGUGUUUUUACACCCACAUAU